GUGUCAGCCGCCGCGGUAAAACGUAGGACGCGAGCGUUAUCCGGAUUUACUGGGCGUAAAGCGCAUGCAGGCGGCCUUGUAAGUCGGAUGUGAAAUCUCCCGGCUCAACUGGGAGGCGUCAUUCGAUACUGCAAGGCUUGAGGGCAGGAGAGGGGAGUGGAAUUCCCGGUGUAGUGGUGAAAUGCGUAGAUAUCGGGAGGAACACCGGAGGCGAAGGCGGUCUUCUGGGCCUCUCCUGACACUGAGGCACGAAAGCUAGGGGAGCGAACGGGAUUAGAUACCCCGGUAGUCCUAGCCGUAAACGAUGGGCACUAGAUGUUCCCACAUUUUGUGGGAGUGUCGAAGCUAACGCGUUAAGUGCCCCGCCUGGGGAGUACGGUCGCAAGGCUGAAACUUAAAGGAAUUGACGGGG
rnacentral:rRNA from 1 species